rnacentral:rRNA from 1 species
CCGCCGCCCGCGACACUGCGAGAAGUCCAUUGAACCUUAUCAUUUAGAGGAAGGAGAAGUCGUAACAAGGUUUCCGUAGGUGAACCUGCGGAAGGAUCAUUG